rnacentral:rRNA from 1 species
UACGUAGGGUGCGAGCGUUAAUCGGAAUUACUGGGCGUAAAGCGUGCGCAGGCUGUUUGGUAAGUCAGAUGUGAAAUCCCCGAGCUCAACUUGGGAACUGCGUUUGAAACUACCAGACUAGAAUAUGUCAGAGGGGGGGUAGGAAUUCCACGUGUAGCAGUAGAAAUGCGUAGAGAUGUGGACGGAAUGACCGAGUGGCCGAAGGCAGACCCCUGGGAUAAUAUUGACGCUCAUAGC